UACAGAGGGUGCGAACGUUGCUCGGAAUUACUGGGCGUAAAGCGCGCGUAGGCGGCUUUGCAAGUCGGGUGUGAAAUCCCCAGGCUUAACCUGGGAACUGCAUUCGAGACUGCAUUGCUAGAGUAUGGGAGAGGGAAGCGGAAUUUCUGGUGUAGCGGUGAAAUGCGUAGAUAUCAGAAGGAACAUCAGUGGCGAAGGCGGCUUCCUGGACCAAUACUGACGAUCAGGUGCGAAAGCGUGGGGAGCAAACAGG
rnacentral:rRNA from 1 species